rnacentral:rRNA from 1 species
UACGUAGGGUGCGAGCGUUAAUCGGAAUUACUGGGCGUAAAGCGUGCGCAGGCGGCGCGUUAAGACAGGUGUGAAAGCCCCGAGCUUAACUUGGGAAUUGCGCUUGUGACUGGCGUGCUGGAGUGUGGCAGAGGGAGGUGGAAUUCCACGUGUAGCAGUGAAAUGCGUAGAGAUGUGGAGAAACACCGAUGGCGAAGGCAGCCUCCUGGGCCAGCACUGACGCUCAUGCACGAAAGCGUGGGGAGCAAACAGG